rnacentral:misc_RNA from 1 species
GAAAUGCGAUAAGUAAUGUGAAUUACAGAAUUCAGUGAAUCAUCGAAUCUCUGAACGCACCUUGCGCUCCUUGGUAUUCCUUGGAGCAUGCCUGUUUGAGUAUCAUGAAAUCUUCAAAGUAAAUCUUUUGUUAACUCAAUUGGUUUCUACUUUGGUAUUGGAGGUCUUUGCAGCUUCACACCUGCUCCUCUUUGUUCAUUAGCUGGAUCUCAGUGUUAUGCUUGGUUCCACUCGGCGUGAUAAGUUAUCUAUCGCUGAGGACACUGUAAAAGGUGGCCAAGGUAAAUGCAGAUGAACCGCUUCUAAUAGUCCAUUGACUUGGACAAUACUUUUAUGAUCUGAUCUCAAAUCAGGUAGGACUACCCGCUGAACUUAAGC